rnacentral:rRNA from 1 species
CGACAUUUCGAACGCACAUUGCGGUCCACGGAUACAAUUCCCGGACCACGCCUGGCUGAGGGUCGUU